rfam:Culex pipiens quinquefasciatus supercont3.34 genomic scaffold, whole genome shotgun sequence.
GCGUGGCCGAAUGGUAACGCUGUCCGCUUUGUAAGCGGAUGAUUCUGGGUUCGAUUCCCAUCUGCUGCA